CUGUCAGUUUCAGUCCGCUGCCGGCAAACAGACUGGAACAACUAGGCAGACCAGGGCCGAAGGGGAAGGGAAAUCCUUGAGCAGUCAGAUCGCAUUGCAGGUGCACCCGCCACGGGGGCUCGGCGGAAGUUCCGUUCAGCUUUCCUUCCCAACGUUUUUGGGGUGCUGGGGACAGCGCUGCACCAGGAGGCUCUCCUCCCCUUUCUGAUCAAGCGAUCAACUUGGAGGAAAGGCGCCCAACGGCCAGCCCAGCCGCAGCUUCUUCAAACUGCGAAUAAGGGUGGAGAACUCCUGCUGUGCUGUAUUUGGAUGAUGGCGAUGACAGACCACAGAUGGAACACCCAGCGGGAGGAAAGUGGGAUUCUCCUGAGGAAGAAGGAUGUCUCCACAAAACAAAUCUGCUCAAAGCUCCAGAACUCUUCUUCUAAACCUCCUGCGUAGGGUGGCUCUUCCUCGGGGACAAAGAAUAAAAUCCACAUCAAUACAGAAUCUACUCCCUGCCUCUCCAGGGCCCGUGAUGUAAGAGACUGAAGCUCAUGCAGGGGAAGAGAUUUACCUAGUCAACCAACAAUGGAGAAGCACAGCUGCAAUCAGAACCCAGGACUCCAGACUCUCUUCCUGGUCCUCUUUCCAUUUUACCUAAUCUAGAGCCCCUCUCCUUUUCAAAAUAUGGAACACACGAGAGGUUCCAUUUCCUUUUGUUCUUAGUUGGCUAUCUAUUAAAAAAGGAACAAGGAGUUCCCACUGUGGCUCAGCAGGUUAAAAACCUGACAUAGUGUCUGUGAAGAUGCAGGUUUGAUCCCUGGCCUCACUCAGUAGGUUAAAGAUUGGGUGUGGCUGCAAGCAGCAACAUAGGUCGCAGAUGCUGCUCAGAUCAAGCAUUGCUGUGGCUGUGGUGCAGGCCAGCAGUUGCAGCUCUGAUCUGACCCCUGGCCAGGGAACUUCCAUAUGCCACAGGUGUGGCCAUAAAAAGAAAAAUAAAUAAAUGAAUAAAAGAGAAUGAAUUAGAUUAAUUUC
rnacentral:lncRNA from 1 species